GGAUGGAUGCCCUGUGCAAGUCUAUUCAGGAAAAGAUAUGAGAAAACUUGUCUUGUUCCGAAAAUGCUUGAAGAUGGAACGAUGUGACACAGCCGGUAAGAUAUCAAACUGCGUGAAGGACAGCCAAUAGAGCAACCAUUGACCUUUGGCAAUGGAUUUGGAAUGAGGAAGCACACGUACACCCUAUAGCUCAUAAAACCGACUCGCCUGCGAUGAGUAAUGUAUGGCAAAAACGUCAGCAUGACCAAGCACAGAAAACAUGUUUCUUUAGUUAGAGUUGAAGACUGGAAUCUCCUGCAGCACACCUGAUGUCGAUUGAAACUCAACUGGGGUGUAGGUGCAGCAAUGGCUGAAAGGAGGAGGU